rnacentral:tRNA from 2 species
UCCCUGGUAGCUCAGCUGGUUAGAGCACCUGACUGUUAAUCAGGGGGUCGUUGGUUCAAGUCCAACCCGGGGAG